rnacentral:rRNA from 1 species
CAGUAGCCGCGGGAAUACGUAGGUGGCAAGCGUUGUCCGGAAUUAUUGGGCGUAAAGGGCUCGCAGGCGGUUUCUUAAGUCUGAUGUGAAAGCCCCCGGCUCAACCGGGGAGGGUCAUUGGAAACUGGGGAACUUGAGUGCAGAAGAGGAGAGUGGAAUUCCACGUGUAGCGGUGAAAUGCGUAGAGAUGUGGAGGAACACCAGUGGCGAAGGCGACUCUCUGGUCUGUAACUGACGCUGAGGGGCGAAAGCGUGGGGAGCGAACAGGAUUAGAUACCCCUGUAGUCCCUGUCUCUUAUAC